AAAUUGCUUUUGUGAUUUUCCCCCAGUAGUCUGGCAACAUCAAAAAGUCCAGUCUUACAAAAUCGCAUAUUUGUGACAAUGUCAGCAAUAAUAUUUACCCGAAGAUCCAAAACUGCAGCGUGUGAGAUGGAAUGAAAUGUUUUUGAGAGCCUUUAUUGAGACAUAAACCAACCGAAAAGCGAGUCUCCCGGGCAGGAGCAGAGACCGUCCUGCAGCAGCCCAAGAAUAAACAAUAUAGCACCGAGACGAGAUGUAUAAAUAGAAAUAAAUACAGCAAGCACAGAGAAAUAUGAAGCAAUAGUCUAUAAAAUGCAGCUGCACCGGGAUUCGUACUGCCCAGGCUACUUGAAGACACAGCUAUGGGGAAAGAGCCCUCUCCCCUAUUUCAGUUACACGGAUGAGCAAAGCUGUUACACUUGACCUUUGUUUCUAAAUCAUCCUCGGAACAACGGCGGGGGCCGUUGAAUUCCCCUUGAAAAGGAGCGGAGCCGAAAUGGAUCCUGCGAGCAGCGAGCAGAGCCGGACCCGCGGCUGCAGCACGGGGGUCGGGCCGGGCUGUGGGUGCUGGGGAGCGGCGCCGGCUCAGACCGGCACCGGAACCUGCCUGCAUUCUGGAGAGUGCAAAACAGAAGGGGUUGGAAGGUGAGCUCGGCUCAGUCGCCGGUGCAAUAAAUGACCGCACAUUGCAGUACACGGAAAGGCUUCCUUCCCAGUUUUCAGUGGGGUGAGAGGAAUUAAACCGAUGCUUUAUCCCAUGGUGGCAUCAGAAAUCAGCUUCGUAGGAAAUGCCAUUGCGUUGUUCACAGGAGAAAGAUUUAAAAAUGUAGAAAAACCACCACUUUGUAGCUUAAAAAAAAAUAAUAAAAGGGUAUCUUCCACAAAGGUACCUGGCUCUUCACUGGGCGGCCAGAAAGAGCCAUGAAUUAUUAUCUGUUUACUAAAGUGAUGAAAUUCCCUCGAAAAGAUCGAGGGGAGGAAAGCUCCUGCAUUUAUUUGUGAGGACUGUUAUACUGUGUAUGGCGGGGGGGGGCGGGGGGGGAAGAAAAACCAGCACACAAAACAGCGGGGGGAGAGAAAGAAGAUUUCUCACCGAGUCUCAAUACAGCGCCCGCCACACGCGCAUUCAAAAUGUCGGAGCUCCCGGAGGGCGCCCCGGGGAGGGCGCGUCGGGGCGGCCGGAGGUGCGGGGCAGGUCGGGCGGCCCCGGGGAGCGCGGCCGGGAGCGCGGCCGGCGGGCGGGGGGGUGCGCGGGGCUCCGAAACCGUUAGGUUGUCUCCGUGGGUUCCUCUCCCCUUUCUCUUCCUGUCCAAAUAUUUUUAAAUUUACGCGCCUGAAAUAACAGUCUGAUUGCAUUUAUUGGGUUUCCUCCGCGGGCUCCGCGCCGCUCCGUCCCGGCCCAGCCGCGAGGGCCCCGGGCGGCCCGCGCAGUGUCCGCGCAACGUCCGCGCCCCGGCCGCGCCGCCUCCCGCUCCGCCGCCGCGUUUCUUCCAACUUGCGCUGCACGCUUUUUGGUUUUAAAUUUUCUUUCUUUUCCUUUCCUUCCCCCUCCCGCCCCCCCGCAGUCGGGACUUGGAGCCUCCUCAGUGUCACCCGAUGGCUUCGCAGCCCCUCGGCCGCAGUGAGUACAGCGAAGGGACCUGCAGCUGCCGGGGUGCUGGCGACACUCGCUGCGGCUGCUGCCCGGGGCUCCCGCUGCAGAGCCCGGGGCUCUGCUCCCCACCCCAGAUUUCCGAGAUGCAGAAGCAUCUUCUCCUAGCGCAGCCCGCAUAGAAGGCACAAGGCAGCAGGUUCGCCUCCAGGUUUCCAUUACAAACGGGAAGCAAGUAAUGAAGAACUGCUUCCACAACUGAUUUCUGUCCACGAUGCCCUAGUUGUCACAGAAGUCCCAGCACUGGUCAGUGAUAGCUGUCUCCCUGGCAUCUCCAGCCUUCCUGUCCUUCUGCCUCCAGCUUUCUGCUCCUGCCACGCUCUGCUGGUUCCAGGCCUCCUCCCAAACUGCUUCAUCUUCGUCAUCAUCCUUCGCUGCCUCGGCAGCAAGCGAGGGGAGCGACGAUGCGCACAGGAGGGUCUCCCCACAGACAGCAGAGCUGGGGACACGGAGGAGCAGGCCGGGAAGGCUCGCUCUGCACAGGAGCCGCGGGUGAUGCCCGCGCAGCGCCCGGCGCCCAACGGGCCCCGUCAGCACGGGCUGGACUGUAGCUGCCCAAAGCCAACCGUUCUUAACCGAUCACGUGAAAACGGAGAUUCUAUGGAGUCUUAUAACUUUGUUACGUUUGGAUGCACAGCUGUGAAACCACAGCAAUGGUGCUGGCAAACUUCACGUUGCUGCUCAGAAGUUACACGGCUGAAACUGGACUGGUGAUGUGUGUUCCAUUCCAAAUUCCUUCUGCACAGAAACGGGGAUACUGACACUUCUGAAUGAAGCAACCGGAUUAUUAUUUUUUAAUAGGGGCAAAAUAUUUUUUUAACCUUGCUCUUGAAAAUGAGUACAGUGGUUUAGCUGGAAACUGCCAAAAAUUAAACCUGGGGCAGAUGCUUGGCUUGGAAAUUACCAGCCCAAACAGUUACAAGCAGCUGAAAACAAGAUGUUAUUAUGAAGCACCGGACAAGAUGAAGCGGAGCAGUUCCACUGCUUUGGCCUAAAUGUGGAAGAUUUUUAAGUGACCUGUAAUGAAUUUCUUAAUAACAACUUUGUUGAAAUAACCAGAA